rnacentral:rRNA from 1 species
GAUGAACGCUGGCGGCGUGCCUAAUACAUGCAAGUCGAGCGAACCACUUCGGUGGUGAGCGGCGAACGGGUGAGUAACACGUAGGUGAUCUGCCCAUCAGACGGGGACAACGAUUGGAAACGAUCGCUAAUACCGGAUAGGACGAAAGUUUAAAGGUGCUUCUGGCACCGCUGAUGGAUGAGCCUGCGGCGCAUUAGCUAGUUGGUAGGGUAAAGCCUACCAAGGCGACGAUGCGUAGCCGACCUGAGAGGGUGAACGGCCACACUGGGACUGAGACACGGCCCAGACUCCUACGGGAGGCAGCAGUAGGGAAUCUUCGGCAAUGGGCGAAAGCCUGACCGAGCAACGCCGCGUGAAUGAUGAAGGCCUUC